GAUCAUGUGACAUUCCUGAGAUCUAAAAUGGCUGAAACGGCAUUGAAGUGCGUGUCUCUUUUCUUCCUGGUGUAUGUUUUCGGCUUGGUGCAUGCCGAGACAUGUGUCGAUGGAACAUAUUGUUAUGGAGACCAGUACUGUUGUGAAUAUGAUUAUGGGUGUUGCAGCACAAUUUAUUUCUACUCAGUGUGGUG